rnacentral:rRNA from 1 species
UACAGAGGUCUCAAGCGUUGUUCGGAUUCAUUGGGCGUAAAGGGUGCGUAGGCGGUCUAUUAAGUCAGUGCUGAAAUAUCCCGGCUUAACCGGGAGGGUGGCAUUGAUACUGAUGGACUUGAGUAAAGUUGAGGUUGGCGGAAUUGACGGUGUAGCGGUGAAAUGCUUAGAUAUCGUCAAGAACACCUAUUGCGAAGGCAGCUAACUAGCUUAAACUGACGCUGAGGCACGAAAGUGUGGGGAUCAAACAGG